UAUUGAAAGUAAGGACUCACUUUAGUAAGCUAAUUCUGCAAAAGUAUCUAAGUUGAUUUUUGCUAAAGCCUCUCCUUGAUUCCCAAAUCCAGCAUAUCCUUGAGAGUCUUUUCUUUAGUCGGGUAAGUCUUGCUGAGUAAUUCCAUACUCAGGGUUUUAUUCCCUGUUUUUUUUCAGGUUAUAGUUUUGUGCUGCUGUUGAUGGUGUUAAGUGUCGGUGGGCUCGACCUUCUUAUAUAAGUAUACCCCAUCUUUAUCUUAUUGAGGAUGGUCACUUGAGCUAGCAUAUAUUUCAAACUUAUAAACAAUUUAUAACAAUUCAAACUUAUUUCUUUGAAUCACUUUUGUAACCACUCCGAUCAUGUACAUUGUAAAACUUGAUGUAACAUGUAAAAUUUGGUAAUAAGAUUUCCGCUGUAAAAUUUUUGGUGUGUGAUUUGUGUUUACUUAAUCCCGGUUCUGGUUGUAAGUGGUUUAUCUGAGGUCCUUGGGACACUCGGACGGAUCCUGUUAAGUUAUUUGGUGCACAAGCAUAGCCGUCUGAGGUCUUUGAGACAAGGACAGGUGCAUGUGGGCCCGAUAACUUGGGAGGUUCUGCCACAGCUGGUAUCGGAGCAGGAUUAAGUAUAUACGGUCACAUACUAUUUUCAAAACAAAAGUUUUGGUUUCGAAAAACCUAUUUUCGACUAAACAGAUUGUUUGGCUUUGAAAAACAGCUUUGAAAAAAAACUAUAAUGCUAGUGACAUCCUCUAUUAAGCCCUAAAUUAAGGACUAUUAGGUGCCUUAUUUGAAAACCACUAACCCACAACCGGGGGUAUUGCAUACAUGUGUAUUGUUAUUUUUGAGGCCAUUCAGUACUGAAUGGAUCGACGCUCAAGGUAAGGUGAGAUGUGAGAGCAUGACCGAACAAACGUUGGUCUAGGGAAGUGCUUAAUUGUAGCGCUUGAUUAUAUACAUGUUCCACAUAUGUAUAUAUGAAGGCUGCGAUGUGGAGUAUUUACUUUUCUAGGAAUUCAGUACCCCAUGGAUGUGUAUGGGUAUACAGACAUGGGAAUACUGAGAAGUGUAAUGUACUUGCAACGACGCACCUACGCUCAGGUAAGAAGGUGAGUUACCAUAAUGAGUUGCCCUAUGGUUAAAGUGUGGCAACGGCGCCUAUGCGUGGCUCGACGCUUAAUGAUGAGCUGGCCUCCAUAUAGAAAUAUAUGGAGUAUAAAUUGUGAUAAACUGUCAUGUUUGAAUUGCAUCAUUGGGAAAAUGGGCUGUGAUGGAAUUUUCUGCAGGUACACUAACCUCGAAAACGUAUGUGUAGUUGACGACUAGAAAAACACCGUGAGAGUCGUAAGUAUGCCACCGAGAUAGAACACUAUUGCCACAGUAUGUUGGCAAAAUCAGUGAGGACGUGUAGGACGAGCAUGCAUCCUGAUUGUCACAUUAUGUUUGUCACUUAUACACCCAAAAUGCUUCUCUCAUCUUUAUUCCAGUAACCAUUGAUUGUAAAUAAUAUGGUGUUUUAAAGCUACAUGUUUAGAUAGCUUUCAGGCUGUUUUAAUUUGACCAUUAGUGCAAAUGGUGUUUGCUCUUGUGCUUGAUAUACUAAUAGAAAGUUAGUGACUUGUUUGCCUAAACCCAAAUCUAGGCCAUGUUCUUAGUUGAUGAACCAUGACCCAAAGUUCAUUUUUCCGUUACCCCUCCUUGACCCAAACUUAUACAAACAAUGCUUAGAUAAUUUCUUCAUUGGACAAAAAAGGGUACUUAAGCUUAAAAUAAGAAUCUCGACUCAUAUUUCCAUCUUAGACCAUGCCCUUGACAAUUGGUACAAGCUGAUGUCUCUUAUCCAGUUUGCCUGUUCUUAAGAAUGGCCAUGUUGCUUCAUCAACCUAACCUAGGAAAGGCAUGUCCGACCAUUUUCUUGACUUUGAUGCCUUUGGUUUCCUCAUAUCUAUCUAAGGCAUAUCAACUCAAUCUUAUGAUUGUUUUCCUCUGUAUCUAAUCAGAUACUAAUCCUUGACCUUGUAAUCUCUGUGAUGGGCAUAGAAAUAUGCUUGUGGCUGAAGUAUCGGUCUCCCAUCGUACUUCUCUCAUCAAGUUUAAGUUAUGGUCAUGUCUUGUUCAUUUCAUCGGGCCAUAAUCUAUUUGGUUCUCUACUUGUAACCAUUCUUACAGGUGGAGUAUCUCCUUGUAUAAUGUCACCCUUGCCCAAUUCAUUUGUGUCGCGUGAGAUUUCUUAUUGGUUAUGUCUAAUAAUGGUGUUGUGAUUAAAACUGAUGGUGCCGCGACAAAAUCGAGGGCCUCCUGUGGAUGCAUACACAUGGUUGUGCUGCUCGGCACGCGCUGGUAUCAUGGUUAGUAGUUGUAAUCCAUUAUGAGACUAUAUCAAUGUGUUAUCCUGGCACAAUCUAGUUUUACCAUGUGAGAUUCAUUAUUGGUGCCAGUUCGGUGAUGGUGUCAUGAUUAAUGACUUAUGGUGCCGCUGCGGAACUGAGAGCCCCUUGUGAAUGUACACGCAAGGUUAUGCUGCUUGGCGUGUGCCGGUACCGAAGUCUCUAGUCAUGAUCCACUAUGGAAUUACACUGAUGUGUAAUCUUUCGUGGACUUUCCCUUAAAAAAAUUUCUAUGUUGUUUGUCAAGUGAUCAAGCAACAUCUAUCAUCUCUGUUGGAUCAAAAGGGCAUAUCCCUUUCAUGUGUGGUCUCUUUUCCUUGACUUUGAUGGUGACUUCACACAUACACGUUCCCUUUGCAUCCUUUGUGUAAAGGUGAACCCUUGGAGCUUUUUAGUGUUGGAAGACAGGUAAUUAGCUCUCAAAAUGGAGAUUGGUUUUCCCUGCUGCUGAGAUGCAGGAGUUUGUUCAUUCGCUCUCCUAUUUAAUCCAUGUAUUCCCUAACCAAGUGGAUGGUUCAUCUCGCAUGCAAAAACGGAUGAACAACAUGACCAAAUGGAUUACUACCCAUGUG
rnacentral:lncRNA from 1 species